AACCCAUGGUGAGGGCACCUUCUCAGUAAGCUCUUGUAUCUCUCUCAUGCAUCAUAGAGGGUUUUUAAAUCCAUCUGCACAAAAGAAGAGAUAUCAUUACGUAAUUU
rfam:Gossypium arboreum cultivar AKA8401 contig_17781_5, whole genome shotgun sequence.